rnacentral:rRNA from 1 species
AUUGAACGCUGGCGGCAGGCCUAACACAUGCAAGUCGGACGGUAGCACAGAGGAGCUUGCUCCUCGGGUGACGGGUGGCGGACGGGUGAGUAAUGUCUGGGGAUCUGCCCGAUAGAGGGGGAUAACCACUGGAAACGGUGGCUAAUACCGCAUAACGUCGCAAGACCAAAGAGGGGGACCUCCGGGCCUCUCACUAUCGGAUGAACCCAGAUGGGAUUAGCUAGUAGGCGGGGUAACGGCCCACCUAGGCGACGAUCCCUAGCUGGUCGGAGAGGAUGGCCAGCCACACUGGAACUGAGACACGGUCCAGACUCCUACGGGAGGCAGCAGUGGGGAAUAUUGCACAAUGGGCGCAAGCCUGAUGCAGCCAUGCCGCGUGUAUGAAGAAGGCCUUCGGGUUGUAAAGUACUUUCAGCGGGGAGGAAGGCGAUGUGGUUAAUAACCGCGUCGAUUGACGUUACCCGCAGAAGAAGCACCGGCUAACUCCGUGCCAGCCGCCGCAGUAA